rnacentral:rRNA from 1 species
AGUCACUGACAUUAGAUACCCGUGUAGUCCAGGGUGUAAACGCUGCAGACUUGGUGUUGGAGGCCCGUUUGGGGGCAUUCAGUGCCGGAGAGAAGUUGUUAAGUCUGCUACUUGGGGAGUACGUCCGCAAGGAUAGAAACUUAAAGGAAUUGGCGGGGGAGCACCGCAACGGGAGGAGCGUGCGGUUUAAUUGGAUUCAACACCGUAAAACUCACCAGGGAAGACUGUUACAUGAAGGCCGAGAUGAAGACUCUGCUAGAUUUUCAG